UACGAAGGGGGCUAGCGUUGCUCGGAAUCACUGGGCGUAAAGCGCACGUAGGCGGCUUUUUAAGUCAGGGGUGAAAUCCUGGAGCUCAACUCCAGAACUGCCUUUGAUACUGAGAAGCUUGAGUCCGGGAGAGGUGAGUGGAACUGCGAGUGUAGAGGUGAAAUUCGUAGAUAUUCGCAAGAACACCAGUGGCAAAGGCGGCUCACUGGCCCGGUACUGACGCUGAGGUGCGAAAGCGUGGGGAGCAAACAGG
rnacentral:rRNA from 1 species